rnacentral:rRNA from 1 species
GUCUGGUGCCAGCAGCCGCGGUAAUUCCAGCUCCAAUAGCGUAUAUUAAAGUUGCUGCAGUUAAAAAGCUCGUAGUUGAAUUUCGGGAUCAAUAUGUUGGUCGUGCCUUGGUACGUACUAGCUUAUUGAUUUCUCCUUUCUGACGAACCAUGAUGUCAUUAAUUUGGUGUCAUGGGGAAUCAGGACUGUUACUUUGAAAAAAUUAGAGUGUUUAAAGCAGGCUCGCGCUUGAAUACAUUAGCAUGGAAUAAUGAAACAGGACAUUUGAUUCUAUUUUGUUGGUUUCUAGGAUCGAUGUAAUGAUUAAUAGGGAUAGUUGGGGGCAUUAGUAUUCAAUUGUCAGAGGUGAAAUUCUUGGAUUUAUUGAAGACUAACUACUGCGAAAGCAUUUGCCAAGGAUGUUUUCAUUAAUCAAGAACGAAAGUUAGGGGAUCGAAGACGAUCAGAUACCGUCGUAGUCUUAACCAUAAACUAUGC